UACAGAGGUGGCAAGCGUUGUUCGGAAUUACUGGGCGUAAAGGGCGCGUAGGCGGUCCGAUAAGUCCCGUGUGAAAUCCCUCGGCUCAACUGAGGAAUGGCACGGGAAACUGACGGGCUUGAGUUCGGGAGAGGGAAGCGGAAUUCCGGGUGUAGCGGUGAAAUGCGCAGAUAUCAGGAGGAACACCGGUGGCGAAGGCGGGUCUCUGGGCCGAAAUUGACGCUGAGGAGCGAAAGCGUGGGGAGCAAACAGG
rnacentral:rRNA from 1 species